rnacentral:lncRNA from 1 species
UUUCUUCUAAUGGCCCCUUGAAUUUUGCUAAGUUCUAUCGUGAUCCUAUAUUAACAAAUCAUUCAAUAGCCAUGUCUCUCGCCACUUAGGAUAAGAAGAGCGUACAUUUAAUCGUGUUUGGGAGACUAAGGACUGAUUUUCUCGGCUAAUAAGUGUCCAACGUGGCAUGAUUAACGGUUGUUAUAAUCAAAAUAGCUUAAAGAGCUAAUUCUUUACCAAUUUCUCUCUCUUCAAACUUAACCUCAGGAACGACGUCCAUCGCUCUCCCUCUCUCAAUUGAUUUUGUUUCUCCAGCUAGAAUCGAUUUGAAAAUGGCUACAUAUGUGAAGGAAUUAAGAAGCUUGACCAAUUGUCGGCAACUGAUUAUGGUAAGUCAUGCUUUUGUGUUUUCGGUUCAAGUUCUAUUAGAAAGAUAAGCAAAAAGCAUCAAUAUUAGAAAUAGGAAAUUUCAGAGAAAGUAGAGACUAAAAAAGACAGAUGAAAAAGAAGAAGAAAUUAGGAAGUUGCUAGUUGAAGAAGCCAAAACUAACGGAGAGUCUCAACUUACGUCAAAUUGUAGGUUCUCAUCUCUUUUGGACUCUAAAUAUUGUGAUUUUCUUCUCUCAUGUUUUUUUUUUUUUAAUUUUUCUAUUUCCUUCUCUUAAUUAAUUUUAUGAGUUAAAGAUUAUAAAGUAUGGUUUGGAUUAUGAUGUUUAUAUAAAUAAGGAUUUUGGUUCACGUUUAUGAUUCUUGCAGCAAAAGAUUUCUAAUGCAUGGAAGAUGUUUGAUGAAAUGUGUGAAAGAACCAACAGUAAAAGGAGGAAACUUUUUUUACAGUUAGUAUUUUUCUCCUAUCUGGAUUAUAAUUCAAUACACGUGUAAUUAUUUAGUCCAUAUCAACACGUGUGCAUUUCACUUCUUUUUUGCACUUUGGCGAGCGACAUGUAUUCAAUUAAAAUUUUAAAAAUUAAAUGAAGUGCAUUAUCCAGAAAAAUCAACCAUAUAUAAAUAAUAACAUCUAAAAUAUCAUAUUCAGAUACACAUACAUAUAGAGUAAAUCUAAAGCUGAGAUGCUUUUUUAUCCUAAUCUCUAAAUAAAGAUCAACAUGAAAUAGAGUAUCUGAACCAGAUUAGUUUGUGAGAAAAAGAAGUGGCGUGCAUUAACACACAAUUAAAAGAUCUCUCCUUCAGAUGGCUUCACUUGUUUGCCUCCUUUCCCUUCCAAUAGCCUCCUCUUAAUAGUAUCAUCCAAGACUCCCUUAUCCAUCAUCUCUUCUAUUAUCAUCAUCUUUAUUUUCUAAUCUCCAAAUCUAAAAGGAUUAAUUACUACUGACGAAAAAAAUAGGAAAAAAAAUAUUUGGGUAGCAAUAGAGAAAAUCUAGAAAUAAUUGUGGAGCAAUUUUGAAAAAUAAGGAUAAAUUCAAAUUUAGUGUUUGAACUUUUCAACUUUUUGCAAUCUAGUGUCUCUACGAAAAACUUUUACCAUUUAAGAUUUAAUCUUUUUAAAACUUGCAAUCAGGUGUCUAUUGCUGAAUUAACAUCGGAAAUAUAACUCAGUUAACCCUGAGUUCCAAUUAAAUCUAGUCAUAUGUUACAUAGUGUGAACAAGUGUUUUCCACAUUUUUAUAUUGAAUAAAAUUGUCAAAAAAGGAGCGGUUCAAACCCAUAGACAAUCGGUCAAAAAAAUAAAAAAAUCAAUGCAAAACGUACAAAAAAAUCAUUUUGAUUCAGCCAUAAUUCUCUCCAAUAUAUAGUUUUUAAGACAAGGCUAAUACCAUUAAAAACUAGACUGAAAGAGCUUUCUAACAGUACUUUACAAGCUAAAAUCGGAGUUGAAAUGGACCUUGAACCGGUUAAACUAGCCACAAAAGGUCAAACUAGACCAAAACUACAAUGCUGGAAGAGCGAGCCAGGCCUAGCCGUUGGCCAGCACUGGCCAGCCACUGGCUAGGGUCGGUGAGUCGAACCAGCCGCUGGCCAACUUCGGCAGCUAGGCCAGCCCACCAGCAUUGCAGCUUUACCCCCCAAUCCCACAUUGCUCAAUUUUGACGCCCCAACUACCUCCUAAGACUAUAAAUACCCCCCCAAAACCUCAUUCAACACACAAAAACUUGCAGAAAAAAGACUGGGAGUAAUAUAAGUAACCUAUUUAAAAGUUUUUGCUCCUACAAGUUCUUUAGUUAACUAUGGAUUUUCACUUAAGUGAAAAAUCAUAAUAGUUUAAGGGUUAGAUUAGCCCCACAUUCCUUUUAAUGUUAAUGCUUUAAUUUAAUUAGGUUAGAUUUAAUAUUGAAUUAGGUUAGUUUAAUUAAAUGCCUAGUUUAGUUUAAUUUAAUUUAAUGCCUAAUUAGAAUUCAUUAAAUUUAAUAUUUAAUUACCUUAGAUUUAAAGGCAUGAUUUAUUUUAGUUUAAUAUUUAAUUUAAUAAAUUGCAUGAUCACUUAGAAUUAAUUAGUUAGACUAGAAUUAAUUAAUUAAAUAGCUAAUUUUAAUUAAUUGCAUAGGAUUAAUUAAAUUAAUUUAGUACUUUAAGUUAUACAAUUGCAUGAUCACUUAGAAUUAUCCAAUUCGCAUAAAAGCAAUUAAUUAGGCUCAAUUAAAUGCUUAAUUACCUUAGAAUAAAUUAAAUGCAUGAUUAUGAUUAGAUUAAGACAUGAUUAAUUUAUGACCUAAUCAAUUACAUAAUUAACUUAGAUUUAAAUAAGUUGUAUGAACACUUAGCUUAGGAUUAGUUGAAUGUUUAUUUUUAGUCUAGAAAAUAAAUAGUUAAGACUUUUUUGAAUUCAAUUAAAUGCAUAUCUAAUUUAGUUUAAAUGUUUUAAUAGUUAGAAUGCUUAAGUUAGUCUUUUAAUCACCUACCUUAGGCUAUAAAUUUUGAAUUAUUUUUCUUGAAUUUAAACAUCAUUUCUUUACACCUAGCAAAUAAAUUAGGAAUCACACUUGUGCCUUAUCACUUAAUUGAGAUGACCUUGAGCACUUCAUAUUUAUUUUUAUUUUAAUGACUUCAAUAUGAGACUCUAAGCUUUUGAAUGGUAUGAAUAUGACUUAGAUGAAUAGAUAGGAUUCCUUGUUUUCUUUGCUUCGUUAUGCACACCGCUUUAUCUCUUUCUUCUUGAAACUUUUGACAGUAAAACGCCAAAUGAACUAUUUUCACACUAAAUAGGCGACUAAAACUUCUUUUUCAAAACCUUUGGCGACUAAAGCCAAAUGAAUCAUUUCCAAUCAAAUGGCGACUAAAGCCAUCUUUUUUAACCAACUAGCAACUAAAGCUACUUUUUAAUCAACUUGGCAACUAAAGUCACUUUUCAAUUAACUUAGCAACUAAAGUCACUUUUUUUCAAUCAAAAGCUACUUUUCCAAUCAAUCGGCGACUAAAGCCACAUUUUCUCAAAACUCAGGAAAUAGGCCACAUUUUUUAACUAAUUGGUGACUAAAGUCACAUUUUUAUAAAUUUGGCGAUUUAAGCCACUGUUUUCAAAUCGAAUCACACUGUUUCACUCAAAAUGACGACUAAAGCCAACUUUUGACAAAACACACACAUGCACACUUUUCAUAAUUAAAGUCCCCAUUUUACGAUGGGAAGAACUGCUUGAUUCUGAUUCCUAUUCAAUGAGAUAAGCAACAGACUCGACUACUAAAACUCGAGUUGCGAACCAAAAAUCCACAAAAAUCCUUUUUUUCCCUUUCUAUUUCGUGCUUCAUUCGGAUUUUUUUGUUUAUUUCAAUUAAGAGGCUUGUGAUUGUCCUAGAAUCCCCAUGAGGGGCUAGAGGCAAUACUCCUAUAAAUGCUUUGCUUUUUCUUUAUUUGCUCUUGUGAAUGUUCGCUUUAUUUUCAAUUUGGGGAAACAUGUGGUCAUCCUAGAAUCCCCUUAAAAGGGUUAGAGAUAACAUUCCCUUUUAAUUAGCUCUAUUCAUUUAAAUGUUUCCUUUUAAUCUUUUUAUUGGGAGAUGUGUGGUCAUUCUAAAAUACUCUAAAAGUGGCUAGAAAUGACACUCCUUUUUUUAUUCUUUUCAUUGCUUUAUUUAUCGAUUUGUUUGUGGCUUACUUUAAAUUGUUUUCUUAUCAUUGCCAUGCAUUUAUCCAUCUUCAAAUUGUUUCUCAUUUGAAGAAGCAUUAACACUUAGGCCGAUUUAUCGAUUGUUUUAAACCAAAAACCUAGUCCCCGAAUCCUCAUCGGUUUCGAUGAUUAGUGCAUUUUAUCCAUUUGGACUAAUGUCCGGAGUCAAACUUAGGGUUUUUCUUAGAUUUUAUCCUCAAAAAUAAAAAAUGUAAGUGGCGACUCCUUUUCAAAGAAAGCAAUCAGAUUAAGUAGGCUUUCACACCGUGAACGUAACUCAAUAUGAGCGUUAUAAUUCCUUUUUAGUAGGUUGGACAAAGCGCUUGGGUCGGGGCUUCACACAUGGCAUAAUACAUCAUCACUGACUUAUGAAAAGUAAAAAAUGACAUAGCAAAAACUAUAAAAUUACCAUUUUAUCCUUAGUUGCCUCUUCUCCAUUAUGUUCUCUACUGUCUUUUACUUAUUUGACCACUAUUAGCCAUAAACUUGUUUCUUGUUCUUCUUUCUAGUUCUCUCUAGUUUCAUUUAGAGCAACCCAAAGAAAUUCGGCAAGAGAUUUACUAAAUAAAAUCUAGUUUUAAGCCUUAACAAGAACUGUUCGUGCAAAAUGACUCCGUCGUCAAGAGAUGAGGCUUCACGGGAACUCUGAUCUAGCCUUUUUUUUGAUAGCAUAUGCCUGGGAUGUUUGCUUAUUCUUAUGCAAAGCAAUAGCUUUGACAUUUGUGAGGUAAAUUGGCUUGUGUCAUUACACCUAUGUAUAAAUUCCCCAUAAGAGACAUACCUUCCAUUUGUGUGAAUGCCUGAUCAUGAUAAAAUGAGAUGAUACCUUAUUGGCUCUCUCUCUCUCUCUCUCUUAUUUUGUCUCUUAUGAUUUGGGCAUUGUGGUUCAGGUGGGUCUUUUUCUCUAAUGGGUUUAAUGAGUUCUAGUUCUGGUACUAAUAAUACAAGUUAUAGUGCUGACGUUAAUAUUAAUAUUAGGUGGUUAAACGCUUUGCAAUUUCUCUUUAAAGAUUAAUGAUCAAAAGGAGCUUCAAUUUUUAGGUUACUCUGCUACUCAACAACCUCUAUCUUCAAAGCCUUAAAUUAAAUGCAUAGUGUUAGUUUUUUUCUUUAAUUUAAAAUUUUCUUUUGUACUGUGUAUAGGAAUAUGAAAAUGAGCAAAAACUAGUUUAAUUAAUCUUUCAUUUUUUUUUUUUUUUUUUUGAUGAAUGAUUUGGGCAUUUGGAAGAUAGUAGAGAACCCGAAAGAAGAAGAAAUUGAGGACAAAAGCGUAAUUUCAUACCUUUACCAUGUCAUGGUCUUCUUUUUACAAGUAACCAAGGAUGUGUCAUGUUAUGUCAACAUGUGAAUAGGCUUAAGCAGGAUUCAAUAUUGCUAAGCCAUAUUUCUGGUCUCCAAGUCAACAAUCGAC